AUUGAACGCUGGCGGCAUGCUUUACACAUGCAAGUCGAACGGUAACAGGGAGCUUGCUCCGCUGACGAGUGGCGAACGGGUGAGUAAUGCGUCGGAACGUGCCGAGUAGUGGGGGAUAAUGCAGCGAAAGUUGUGCUAAUACCGCAUACGUACUGAGGUAGAAAGUGGGGGACGUUCGGGCCUCACGCUAUUCGAGCGGCGGGCGUCUGAGUAGCUAGUAGGUGAGGUAAAGGCUCUCCUAGGCGACGAUCAGUAGCGGGUCUGAGAGGAGUGAUCCGCCACACUGGGACUGAGACACGGCCCAGACUCCUACGGGAGGCAGCAGUGGGGAAUUUUGGACAAUGGGCGAAAGCCUGAUCCAGCCAUGCCGCGUGUCUGAAGAAGGCCUUCGGGUUGUAAAGGACUUUUGUCGGGGAGGAAAUCCCCAGCGCUAAUACCGCUGGGGGAUGACAGUACCUGAAGAAUAAGCACCGGCUAACUACGUGCCAGCCGCCGCUGUAACAC
rnacentral:rRNA from 1 species